GCACCUGUGGCUCAGUCGGGUAGAGGAAUGUCUAUGGCUCCGGAGGUCAGGGGUUCGAACCCCAACCGUGGCC